CAAGGUCUACCAUGUCAAAUUUGAGCUCAAUUGGGCAAAUGGAACCAUGUCAAUGAAAAUCAACAAAAACAGUCACAAUAACAUGCUCCAAACCACAUCAUCAAUGCAUGAACUCACUUCAAAGAUUCAUAACUCAAUGAAAACAAAAGAGAAAUGGAUGAGACCAAAACAGGGAGGUCCUAACAUGUGUCUACUACAAGCAUGCCAAAUUU
rnacentral:lncRNA from 1 species